rnacentral:lncRNA from 1 species
AUGGGGGGGGGGCAGCGCCGGCUCCGGAGGCCUCUCCUCGCACAGCCAGCGGGGCGCCGCUCCCUGCGGGGGGCAACCCGGGCUCCCUGCGCUAACCCCGGGCAGCAGAGCGAAGGGCCCCGAGCCGCAGGCAUCGCCCCGGUGGCUGCGAGCUCCGUGCAGCGGCGGUGGCGGCCGCCGCCUCCCCAAAACCCCCCCCCAGCGCCCCGGGGAGGGCUCGGAGGGCUCCGUCCCGCGCCUCCCCGCUGCCCCCCGGCCCGCCCCGCCCGCUGCCGGCCGCUCACCGCUGCCCGCUGCCCGCAUGGCCCCGCUCGGCCCCGCUGCGCUGCGCUCCCCGCCGAGCCCCGCGCGGCUCCGAGGCGGCGGCGGCGGCGGCGCGGGGCGGGGCGGAGCCGCGGCCGCCCCGUAGUGGGGGGGGGGGGGGGGGGGGGGGGGGGGGGGGGGGGGGGGGGGAGUGGGAGAGGGCGUGGCCAGGCGCGCCGUAUUCUAAGGGGCGUGGUCAGCCGUGGCCACGCCCCCCUCCCGCCUCAUUCACAAAAAACGCCAGCGGUGGGAAGCGCGCGGGCGGGGCCCAGCGCCCAUUGGGCGCCGCGGCUGCCCGUCAGCGCCCCGCCCCGCCGGGGAAGCCGGCCAAUCAGCGCGCGGCGAGGGGCCGCCGAGCCGCUCAAAUCCGCCCGCCGCCGCCGCCAGCGCGACGCUGAUUGGCUGAGGGAGCUGCCCGUCAUCUCUCUGCCCCCCCCCCCUUCUCGCUCGCACGCGUGCCCCGCCCUCCAGCGCCCCGCGCGGCCGCAGCCCGCAGCCGGGCCGCCGACCCCUCCCGGAGCCCGGCGGCCGCGGGGAGGCCUCGGGCGGCGGUGGUGCCCGCGGGGCCGCGUACUGACCUGCGCGGCGGCGGCGGGGAGCCGGGCAGGGCGCGGGCACGGCGCGGACACGGCCCCGGCGCGGACACGGCGGCGCGCGCGCCCCCGACGGCCUCAGCCCGUGACGGGAUCCGCCAUCUUGGAAUUUUUCGCGGCGGCGUCACGUGAGCAGUCCAGUCUGGCUUAA